rnacentral:lncRNA from 1 species
UGAGUAUGAAGGAUAAGGCGAGACUUAACAAUCCAUGGUGUUACUUUGUAAUUGUCAAAGUUCUAAGGAGGAAGUUCAACCAUCAAUUUCUAUGCACAAAACUCUCAAAUCUAUGUAAAGUACAAGAAAACCUAAUUUUAAUAGAUUUAGGUUUCGAGUUCUACACUGUUAAAUUCAACAAUGAGGAAAGCUAGAAGAGAGCCCUAUAGAAAGGGCCCUAGUUCAUAGCAGGAUCAUUCCUAUCGGCACGGAGUUGGGAACCCAACUUCGCACCUAGUGAAUCCAAAAUCCAAGCAACAACUAUAUGGCUCAGGCUCCUACAGUUUCCAAUCAACUUUUAUGACAAAAUAAUAUUGGAGAAAAUUGAGAAUAAGAUAGGUUAACUCCUUAAGAUCAAUUCAUGCACAUCCUCUACUCUUCAAGGGAGGUAUGCCCGUAUUUGUGUUAAAUUUCCUUGGAAACCCUAGUCAAAACCUCAAUGGUAAUUGGACAUCACAAACAAUCCAUUGUAUAUGGCGGGGUAUCUUUUGUAAAAGUUGUGGUCGAUUGGGUCAUACUGCUAUCAAUUGUGAGCAUGCAAUUCCAACUAAACCUUCCCCACCGAAGGAUAAAGCCACCAACUCAGCUUCACCGGAGAUGGAUCAAAAAUAGAAAACAAUAACCUUUAGCAAAAGCAAAAAUAAAACUGCAGCUCCUCAAGCUCACCGGAGCAGAUCAAGAUGAACACUUAUCAAAACAUAAAGGUCAAAAUGUAUGUCGCCCAGUUAGGUAAGUUCUUAGAAACUCAAAUCUUUUAUUAUGUGUCUCCGACCAGUAUCCCGAUCAGGAAUGUCGAUGCAAAUGAAGUAGACUCGGAGAAGGGAAACCCUUUUAUGAUGGAUCAGCCCAUUGCACAGGUUGGAGAUAAUUGUCAAAGUCCAAUCAAAUUUAGGCCAACUAAAAAAGACCUUUUCUUAAUGGGCCACAGAAUACCUAUGGCCCCAAAAAUGAGGGUUAUGCUAUAGGCCUAAGCCACUAUAAGCCUUUUUACCACCUAUACGGUUAGCUCAAGUGAGCUAAGUAAAGGUAGGUAAAUCCAUUUCUAAUCAACAACCAACACUUCAAAAACUUGUUCUGACUUUGCUGAACAGUACACCUCGAGACUCCAAUACUCUUUCUUACUUUAAUACCCCUUUGCCGGAUGCUAUUAAUAAUCAAAUCAAGGCGGUUGGUCCUGAGAGAGGACUGACAACCAUCACCUCCCUCAGAACUUCUCUGAAAUCUAUCCAUAGAGGAAAUGAUGGACAGAGAGGUGAUGAUACCCUCACCCUCUUUACACUUCUCUUUACACUCCUCCAUACCUACUACAAUCAUCACCAACUUAUAAUUAGCAAGCUGGAAGACUAACUAUCUCAAUAUGGCUAGUAGAACCACUCUUGCGAAAGCCACCCUUAGUAAUAUCCCCUAUCAUGUGUAUAAUAUAUAUUUAUCCCUAGUCAUAUCCUUAAGCUUAUUGACAGGACUCAGAGAAAUUUUAUUUAGGGGUCUACUUUUUAAAAAAAAGAUGCACCCGAUCAAUUGAAACACUAUCACUUUUUCAUAAAGUGAAGAAGGAUUGAGGGUGCAUAAGACUAGCAUCAAGAAUGAGACUGUUGUACAACUUAGCCUAGAGGUUUUUCAAUAACCCAACAAUACUUAGAGAAAAGUAUAGUGGUUUCUUAGACAUGAAAUGUAGACCUAAUACCUCUAUGACCUAAAAAGGUCCCAUCAAGGGUUGUAAUAUUUGCAAGGAGGCCUCACUUUGGAUGAUUCAUGAUGGCAAGAACAUUAAUAUUUGGAGGGACAGGUGGAUCCCCAAUCACCCCUCUAAGAGAAUCCAUUUAAGGUCCACUUCUUGGAGAAGAUACCGAGACUAAAGUCUUAGAUAUCUCGAUCAACAGAGAGUGAAAGUUUGAAUCUCUCUCUUUCGAUAUACCAAAGGCUUGAAGUAAGACAUACAAUACAUGUAACACCCCGUACUUAAUUACGUGCAUUAGUCAUUGUUAUAUGUGUUGGGGUAUAUGUAUUGAUCCUAAGUUAGGUAUAUAUGAGUUUAAGUAUGAGUAUUGAUUAUUUUGAGAUGGUUUCAAGUGUAUAGUUUGAUUAUAGGUGUAUAGGAAUCGACUUUAUUUAUAUCGGAAUUUUCCCGUCGAUGGUUCCAUACGAAGGUUAUUGAAUAAGCUUUCCAACGAUAUAAAGAUUUCCAAAAACGGAUAAGUUUCGGAUAUAAGCGAGCUCGUUCGAAACUUUAAAACGGUGGCCGGGAUGUGAACAGUAAAAUGUGCAGGAAACUACUGAGGCCUGCCAGUUUUUUGGGUCAACUUUGAACGAUCAUAACUCCCUAAAUAUAAUGAAAUGGGAGAGAUACCAUAUAUCAAAAGAAAGAUCUUUGAGUCUUCUUUCCAAUGAAAUUGGUUUCAUCCAAAUCCAACAUCUGAGUAAGGAGUUAUACUCGUUUUACUUCAGCCUCUCAAAACAGAUUUUUAGGGUCAACUUCAAACGAUCAUAACUACUUGUACAGGACGAACUGGGUGGAUUAAUUUAUAUUAAAUGAAAGACCUUUGAAUUAUCUUUCUAACGAUACCAAUUUCACCCAAAUCCGAUAUCGGAGCAAAGAGUUAUGGCCGAUUUACUUUAGCCUAUCAAAACAGUCCACCAUGGACAGAUUCGGAUUUACUUAAAUUUUUAAGGGCAAUAUGGUCAUUUUCCAUCACCUCUUGAACGAAAAUUGGUCAUUAUAUACAUAUACUUAGCCUUAUAUCCACCAUUUAUCAUCCAAAUCAUUGAAGAAUAAGAAACCCUAGCCUAAGUUCAACUCCAAUUAUCUUGUGAUUCAACCGUAGAAAAUCCAAAUUGAUUCCGUAGUUGUGUUCACCGUCUCAAGGGCUUCGAGAAGCACCCCUUAUUUGUGCCAACAGGACUUCGAAAUCAAAAGGGCCAUUUUUUUUGGUAAGGAUGUAAAUUAUGUUGGUGUUAUUUAUAUGGAUAUGUAUAUAUAUAUAUAUAUGCAUGUGAGCAUAAGAAGUAUGUUAUUUGAUUGUUGUUGAAAGAUGAUUGGAAAUGAUGUUGGAUUAUUCUUGUGCAUGGUUGGAUUAUGUUAAAUUGUGAAGGAAUUUGGGGUGAUGAUGUGGUAUUGAUGAUGUGGUAUUGAGAUGAUGAUUAUAUACAUAUACACACAUAAACCUAUUGUUCAAGUUGGUUUUUGGAAUGUUUUGCAAAUAUUGGUAGUAUGGAAUUAUGGAAGAGAAUUGUGGUGUUGGGUUGCUAAUACUAGAUGCCAAACAUUUCAUUGUAGAUAAGUGAUUUGUAAAGGCGGGAAGUUGUGUUGAAUUGGUAUCUGAAUCUACAACGAGGUAUGUAAAGCAUACUCUAACAAUGUUCUUUGGCAUGAAAACACCAAUGUUCCAUCAAGUAAGAUUCCGAGGUUGUCCAAAAACAUGUAUUGUUCUACGUUACCAACGAAGUUGUUUCCAUCCUAUAAAGUGUCAAAAUGUUCAUUGAUAUACCAAAAGGCUCUUAUUUCAUUGUUGUGAUAUUGAUGAUUCUGAAACAUAUUGUUGAUGUACCAAUGAGUCCUUAUUACAUCGUUAUUGUAUAGAAGGUCUAUUACUUGGUUCCUAUUGAUGUAUCAUUGUUUCAAGGUAUCAAAAAUGUGGUGACGACCGAAAUAACAAUCUCAAAGAUUAAUUGAACUAAGUGAUGAAAGUUCUCUCUUAUCGGGUGGUAUCCCAGGGGCAUAAGCCUAGCAUGGGUCGAUCCCUAUUUCAUGUGUUUAUGGGUGGUAUCCCAGGGGCAUAAGCCUAGCAUGGGUCGAUCCCAGUUGAUAUGUACUGGAGGCAUCCUAAUGGUCACAGUACAGUACAGUAAUGAUUACAAAGACGAUAAGAACGAAGGUAAAGUGAUUGAAUAAAUACAAUGUACAGGUUGUCACAAGUUCUAGUAAGUGUGGUCCACUCCUAUUACGACUUAUUCACUUGUUUCUGAUUUCUAUUGAGCUCCUAUAUCAUAUGUGAUUAUUUACAGCUUUACAUACUCAGUACAUAUUUCGUACUGACGUCCCUCACGGGUGACCUGCAUUUCAUGCUGCAGGCACAGGUACCUCAACUCAUACACCGCACAAGUAGGAGCCAGGUCAUACAGCUAUUGUUGGUGAGCUCCAGUUUGCUUCGGAGCUUUCCGAGUCGGUUCCUUAUGUUUUGUUAUUUUACAUGAGUCACGUGUGGGCGGGGGUUUGUCCCGACCCUAGUUAUGUCAUGUAUAUCCUAGAGGCUUUGUAGACAUAAGGAAGGGUAAAGUCAUGGAAGUUUAUAUAGUAACGUUAUAUUUGUAUAUGUGGUGGCCCCGACGGCCAAGUAUUAUAUAUAUAUAUUUGUGCGUGUUGUG